rnacentral:miRNA from 1 species
UACAUCUCAUUGAACGGAAGGAAUCCCUUCCGGUCAAUGAGAUUGUUAUACCUCAUUGAUUGGAAGGGAUUCCUUCCGGUCAAUGAGAUGUA